GCUGGUGUAGCUCAGUGGUAGAGCGUUGGCCCAUGCACCAAAGAGUCUCGGGUUCAAUUCCCAAUCAAGGGCA
rfam:Myotis brandtii contig262736, whole genome shotgun sequence.